UCCGUCCCAAUAUUUAAGUCUCCUAUUCCUUUUUGGGCCGUCCCAAUAUUCAAGUCUCCUUUCCUUUUUUGGCAAUAAUUAAGCAAGGCUUAGUAAAUUAACUAAAGGUCUCCACCUACCCCCAAUUUCAUCCCCACCCUUGCUCUCUCUCUCUCUCUCUCUCAUCUUCCUCCCGCCGUCGCCACCACCAACCUCACGCCUUCACCGGUCUUCCCUCCUCCCGCUUCCUCCCGCCGCCGCCACCAACCGAGCGCCUUCACCGGUCUUCCCUCCGCCCUCUUCCUCACGCCGCUGCCACCACCAACCUCUCGCCUGGUCUUCCCUUCGCCCUCUUCCUCCCGCCGCCGCCACCAUCAACCUCGCGCCUCCACCGUUCCUCUCGCCGCCCUCUUCCUCACGCGGCCGCCACCAACAACCUCCCGCCGCCACCACCAACCGAGGCGAC
rnacentral:lncRNA from 1 species